ACACGACUACAUUAGAUACCCGUGUAGUCCUAGCCGUAAACGAUACUCGCUAGGUGUCGGCCACGGUGCGACCGUUGUCGGUGCCGUAGGGAAGCCGUGAAGCGAGCCACCUGGAAAGUACGGCCGCAAGGCUGAAACUUAAAGGAAUUGGCGGGGGAGCACCACAACGGGUGGAGCUUGCGGUUUAAUUGGAUUCAACGCCGGAAAUCUUACCGGGACCGACAGCAACAUGAAGGCCAGGCUGAAGACUUUGCCGGAUUAGCUG
rnacentral:rRNA from 1 species